CACUCCCACCAACCACUCUCUCUCUCACCUGUUCCUCGGUCCACCACACCCCGGCUCCUCUCCCCACAAUCUCCUCGGCGCCGCCCCCACCCACGCCGCGCCGUCCGGUUCCGGCGAGCUCCGUCCACGCGCAACACUCCCCCAAGCUCCGCCCCUCCCUCCCCUCCGUGUUAUUUGGCUAGGGUUUCGGGCGCCUCCCGCGUUCUUGCCCCACCUCUCUCUCUCGCGACCUCUCUGCCCCCGCCUCUGGUCUACCUCACCGCCGCUGCCGCCAAAGGUAGCUCCUCCUCCCUUCCUUCCCCUUCCUCCUUCGCACGCCCUUCUCUCUCCUCCUUCCUCCCGGCAGCCGGUGAUGGUCGUGGACGAGGAGGAGCACCAGUCCCCCGCGCGGAAGCGCGAGCGCGAGGAGGGGAAGGGGUGCCUCACUGCUGGGGCUUGCCAACUACGCGGAAGAGGAGGAGGAGGAGCGCGGGGCCCCGAGGGGGCACGUGAACGGCCGGCCCCGGGAGGAGGAGGAGGAGGAAGACGAUGGGGAUGAGGAGGAGGAGGAGGAGGAGAGGAGGGCUCCGGAGAGGCGGCCCAGGCAGGUCGAGCUGCCCCUACCUCGACACCGUCAACCGACUAGCUUCGAUCUACCAUGUCCUUAGCGGCAGGAACAGAACGGAAUGUCUGAAGAAGCAUCUGCCAGUAUCAGUGCUAGAGGGACUGAACGAACUUCAAAUCAUCGCUGUGCAAUUCGAAGAGAAGAUUUAUACUGAAGCGACCAGUCAGGUAAUUUAAUCCGUCUACUCGAAGCAGAGCACAGUUUAUUUUAUUUUUAGUUAUGGGGGUCAAACAAGGUUUAUGGGCUAAUAAUAGAGCAGAACUGUCUCCAAAUGUUGUAGAGGAUACUUUUUAAGUCAUGUUUAGUACCAUGUAUAAGGCGGUGGUCAUUGCGACGACACACGUCAGGUCAGCUAAUUGCUUCUGUUUCUUUCAACCAGUAGUACGUAGCAGCUAUGGAGUGAGAUGUGCUAAUUAAUUUGUACCACCGUACGCUUACAGAGUUCCCCUUUCUUUUCUUUUUAUGUGUAAUAGCCAAGAUGAUGUGCUUUACACUUACAACUCGUGCUGACUGAAUCGGAGCAAGCCUCCUGCCAGUUCCACCAUGUAACACUCUGCAGGUUGUCGAAAUAAGAUAGUGCUCUGUAGUGCAUUCCGAUUCAGUUGGGUACCCUGGAGCCCCACCAUCCUGCAGUAAUUAUUCAUCCCAUUGUCGACAAUUACAAGAUGGGACCCAACUUCAAGAGAGGCCAAAUGGUUUCUCCAUACGGCGGAACAUCACAGUAGCAUUUCCUUGUAAAUUUCAGUGUUGCACUGUUUAAUCAGCUGAUCUCAUUCUAAAAAUUCAGUGAUGGUGGUACCGAGUACAGAGUACAGAGUACAGACAAAUGUGCAAAGCUCAGGCAGAAUCAAUGGCUGGGACUGGGAGAUGUCGUUCCAAGUAGCCUCUUGGAUGGUCGUCGGUUCUGGUGGCGAUGCCGAUGAUCGUCGAGAGGUUCGUGGACUGGACGGUGUCAUGGCUGCUAAUGUACGGAGAGGCGAAGCUGCUGCUCGUCAUCUACCUCUGGCACACCAACACACGGGUAAGCAGUCGGUCAGACACCCCGAGCCCGAGAGAUGAUCAACAUUUCAGAUAAACUUGAUUCGG